UCUACUUUUACAUCUCCUCUUCUUUACUAUGUUCAUCAGUAAUGGUUUCUGUAGGACCUUAUUUUACUACCAUAGGACAACUGAUAUUUGUAAAGAAUAAUAAGAACAUAAAUUAAAAUUUCAAUAACGAAAUAUAAAAAAUAAAGAAGAAGUAGAGUCGAGAUAAUUAAUCUCUUUCCUUAAAUCUUUAAACGCCCCGUAGUGUGACGGUUUCAUGGCGCUCAGAUUCCCAGGAUACAACUGCAGCAUUGUUUCUGUUUACCAUCACCGAAAAACAGAAUCUACCCUAUUUCUAUGAUGUACUCUCAGACUCAAAAAAAAAAAAAAUACUAGCAUAACUAUUCUGAGUGGGAGAAUCUUUUUGAUGUUGAUCAUAUAAACGUAUUAUCUUUCUACAUUGCCAUGAGGCUCUUUAUAUAAAAAAGUUGAGUAC
rnacentral:lncRNA from 1 species